ACGCAGGUUAAGUUACAGUACAGCUUGUGUGGUGCUGUGUUGUCGUUCCCCCUGCAAACAAUAACCUGUUUCCAGCUAUCCCUGUCUGCCCAAACUUUUUGGCAGCCAGGGACGUAAGGUUUCAGACAA